GGAAACGACUGCUAAUACCGCAUAAUGUAUUGGGGCAUCCCGAAUAACCAAGAUUAUUGCUGAAAGAUGGUCUCGCGUCUGAUUAGCUAGUUGGUGAGGUAACGGGCUCACCAAGGCGACGAUCAGUAGCCGGUCUGAGAGGAUGAACGGCCACAUUGGGACUGAGAAACGGUCCCAGACUCCUACGGGAGGCAGCAGUGGGGAAUAUUGGGCAAUGGGCGCAAGCCUGACCCAGCAACGCCGCGUGAAGGAAGAAGGCUUUCGGGUUGUAAACUUCUUUUAUCAGGGACGAACAAAUGACGGUACCUGAUGAAUAAGCCACGGCUAACUACGUG
rnacentral:rRNA from 1 species